AAAUUCUUGGGUGCAUGAUAACGAGGAUAUCCAACUUCCAUUAGAGGCCUCUUGAAUUUAUUUAAAGGAUAUUCAUCUACUUACAAACAUACACCUAUAUAAAUCUUUUGACAUAAAAUCUUGACAUUCACUUGUUCUGCAAAAAGAAUGUAAGAAUUUUUAUUCAAUCUCUCCUGCAUCUCCCUGUAAAUGAAUUAAGCUAACAAUAAUUUUAAGGCUAAUUAAUAAAAAAGAGAAGAAAGAAUACGGUUGUAAUAAGAAAUAAGUUGGAAGUAAAAUAUUGUAAUGAGAAAUGAAACUACAAUGCUAUAAUAAUUUUUGUUUUUUGGAAUUUAAGUGGUCUAACUAUGAAUUGAAUAACAUGUAUACAAGUGUUUUGUAGUUCCAAAUCAGUAACUUACUUCAAGAUGUUUUGUUUUGGGUUUAUAAAACCUUCUUCUUCUCCACCUGAUCUUGGUUGUUUGCACUACUACCUCCUCCAUAUGUAAUUUCCUAACAUAAGAACAAAGUCAAUUAUUAGUUACAUAGUUUGAAAGUCUUAUGGUAUAGGUAACUCAAAUUCUUAAUUACUUAUAUGCCCCUACUCUUGGUUUACUUGUUUUUUUUUAUGAGUAUUGACUUAUUGUGACUCAAACUCCAGACUAGAAACAAGCAACAGACUAAAAAAUUAAUAUGACAAAAAAAAAAAACUAAGUUUGUGGUUAAGAUUUUUUGAUAUUCCAUGGUUAAUUAUGUGAAAGAAACCCCAUUCUUUGCGGGCUAAAGAGGAUGAAGGAAUUAUAUAUAGAUUUUGAUAUAUCAAAAACAGGAAGUUCUAUUGAAGUAACCCAGGCAUGAUUGAAACUUGAAAGCUGUUUUAAAGAAAGGGUUAGAUUGCACUAAGAUUAUAAAUUAGUUUUUAGGAAACAAACUUUAUAUUUUAUAUUACUAACCAUGAGCAAUUUUAAUAUUCAAUUAUUCAAAAGUACCUAUUCUUCAGUUAGAAUGCUAUGCCUCUAGUUAUAAAACAAAGUCAAUGAAGAUUUUGUUUUAUUGGAUUUCAUGAAUAAAACAAAGCCAGUGAAGAUGAUUAUGGGAACGGGAAAGCAAAAACAUGUAUAAUCAAGGUGUGAAUUAGCAUUUUUAGCAAUCACUUCUUUCAUAAACAACCAAAUGUAAAUAAAACUUUGCCAAACAAACAAUUCAAUAAGGUUGACAUAGAAAAAACCAAAGAAUACUACAAUUAGUGAAAGUUUUUUUUUUUUUUUUUCAACUUUCACAAGUAAAUUGGUUGUUUAAAACUAAGGAUCGAAUUGCUGAUUACUAUAUAACCAUAGAUAACGAAAGCUAACAGUAUAAACAAUAAUAAAUCAAAACCCUAGUAAAUUAAGAUCAAAGGAAACUACAAGAACCAAGAUAUUAAAUUGAUAUCAUUGAUCUAGAAUAACUGCUUUAAUCAUAAAAUUUUACAUCGAUUAUCAAAAUUCCGAAGAAAUUGAACUUAAACAACACUCGUGUAAUCAGGUCUGUUACAUGGCAGACAUUCGCAUCAACACAACAAUUAAUCAACGAAUUAAUCAAUUACACCCAAAAAGCCGAUCGUACCUGUAAACAAUGUGAAAAAAGGGGGGAGGUGGAAGCGGCCGGAGGCCGGAGGAGGAGGCUGCGUCGGUGUCGUCGACCGGAGACCAGAGGCGGAGCUGUGUCGGAAGAAGCGGUGUGGAGUCAAAGACUUUGUGUUGUUGAUGAGUCAUGUUGCGUUCGUCUUGUGAAAAGUAACCACGUAUCAACAGAAAAGGGAACGCGGUCAAAAUCGGAACAUUCGAUUCAAUUUUGACUUUUGGGUCAAAAGAAUGAAUAAGAAUUGUAAUUUUUUUUAUGAAC
rnacentral:lncRNA from 1 species